UGCGACGGGUCGAGAAGGCCUCUGGUUUACAGAUGCGCCUAAUUGAUUUUGGAGACACAAGAUCAUGAUGUGAUCACUUGCCGGAAUGCAAGGGUGUCGGGCAAGACUUUUGUGGAGAAG
rnacentral:ncRNA from 1 species